rnacentral:rRNA from 1 species
GAUGAACGCUAGCUACAGGCUUAACACAUGCAAGUCGAGGGGCAGCAUGAUUGAAGCUUGCUUCAAUCGAUGGCGACCGGCGCACGGGUGAGUAACACGUAUCCAACCUGCCGAUAACUCGGGGAUAGCCUUUCGAAAGAAAGAUUAAUACCCGAUAGUAUAGUAUUUCCGCAUGGUUUCACUAUUAAAGAACUUCGGUUAUCGAUGGGGAUGCGUUCCAUUAGAUAGUUGGCGGGGUAACGGCCCACCAAGUCAACGAUGGAUAGGGGUUCUGAGAGGAAGGUCCCCCACAUUGGAACUGAGACACGGUCCAAACUCCUACGGGAGGCAGCAGUGAGGAAUAUUGGGCAAUGGACGAGAGUCUGAACCAGCCAAGUAGCGUGAAGGAUGACUGCCCUAUGGGUUGUAAACUUCUUUUAUACGGGAAUAAAGUGGAGUAUGCAUACUCCUUUGUAUGUACCGUAUGAAUAAGGAUCGGCUAACUCCGUG